rnacentral:pre_miRNA from 1 species
AGUCUUUCCUUUGGUCAGCUUUCUCUAUUCACGAGAGCUGCCAAAUGAAGGGCUGU